rnacentral:rRNA from 1 species
UUGCGAUGGAGCAGUCUGACCCGCCUGCCGCGUGCAGGAUGAAGGCGUUAUGCGUUGUAAACUGCUUUUAUACAGGAAGAAACGACUCUUGCGAGAGGCAUUGACGGUACUGUAUGAAUAAGCACCGGCUAACUCCGUGCCAGCAGCCGCGGUAAUACGGAGGGUGCAAGCGUUGUCCGGAUUUAUUGGGUUUAAAGGGUGCGCAGGUGGUUUAUUAAGUCAGUGGUGAAAGACGGUCGCUCAACGAUUGCAGUGCCAUUGAAACUGGUAGACUUGAGUAAAGAAGAGGUGGGCGGAAUUGAUAGUGUAGCGGUGAAAUGCAUAGAUAUUAUCAAGAACUCCAAUUGCGUAGGCAGCUCACUUGGCUUUUACUGACACUCAUGCACGAAA